CCCAAACGGCCCAGCAGCCUAGCGCAAAGCUUCUCCGCCCAUCCCCUCCCUGGAGACCGGGCAGGACGGCAAGGUAAGCGGCGAACGCCGGGCCGGCACGAGCUCUCGCCCCACCACCACCGAACCCUCGAUCGCAUCCAACCCCUUGGCCACUGCUCGGCACGAACUCCAGCGGCUAAAGACCCUCGAAUUUCGCUGCUCUUCCCGGGCGGCGCUUCUGCGGUGAGGUCUGUGUUGGGCAUGGUGGCCAGAGUACCCAGCUAGGGCUCGGAUGAAGGAGCGGAAGCCGGCGGCAUCCUCCCCCGCUCUCGCCCGGAUCCUCGCAUCCUGCGUGUCCCAGGCAAAAGAUUAUGGGAGAUGCAUAGCUGCAAAGGUCCCUGAGAUUGAACAUAAUAUGUGUUCUAAGGAGUUCCUAGCGCUCAGAGCAUGCAUGCAGACCGUGUCUAUCAUAGUCGCUUGAGGAGACAAAGAAUGCUGGGCAAUCAGAUGCAAGGUGGUUUGGGCACUCCUGGGGCGCUGUCUCAUGCUUAUGUCCAACAUCCUCCACUGCGAUGUGAUAUACCAGACACACGGGGUCUGUUCUAUGAUGAUGCAAAUAAGUUCCUUAUAGCUCCAACAGCUGAUCGGAUUUUGUACUGGAAAAUAGCUCCACCUAUUCCAUCUGGACCUCCAAAUUCUGAUCCAGUUAAUGAAGGACCUGUCUUGUCAGUUAGAUAUUCCCUGGAUCACAAAGUCAUUGGGAUUCAACGUUCUAGACAUGAAAUUGAGUUCAGAAAUAGAGAAACAGGGGAGACCUGUAGCAAAAAGUGCAGAGCCGAUUCCGAAACUAUUCUUGGCUUUUUCUGGACAGAUUGCCCCACAUGUGAUGUCAUACUUGUCAAAACAAGUGGCCUAGAUCUGCUUUCCUAUGAGUCUCAGUCCCAUGCUUUUCGCUUGGUAGAAUCAAAGAAAUUCAAUGUGAGCUGGUAUCUUUACACACAUGAAAGUAGGCUGAUUCUUCUUGCUUCUGGAAUGCAAUGCACGAUAUUCACUGGUUAUCAGUUUUCUGCUGGUGGGAUUGUCAAAAUACCGAAGUUUGAGAUGAUGAUGUCUAAAACUGAAGCAAACAACAAGCCUGUUCUAGCUGCAGAUGAUGUUCACAUUGUAACAGUCUAUGGUAGGAUUUACUGCUUGCAGCUUGACCGAGUUAGUAUGUCAUUGAAUUUGUAUCGUUUUUACCGUGAUGCUAUUGUACAGCAGUGUGCCCUGCCUACUUACUCAAGCAGAAUUGCAGUUAGUGCGGUUGACAACAUAAUUAUGGUUCAUCAAAUAGAUGCAAAAGUAGUCAUACUUUAUGAUGUGUCCUUGGAUUCUUACGCCCCAGUUUCUGCACCACUUCCACUGCUAGUGAGAGGGCUGCCCAGCAAUAGUAGGCAAGGUUCUGAAACUGCAGAUAGUCAAUAUAGUACAUAUGGUGGAACUAUUUAUGGAGAUGGUUGGAACUUUCUCAUUCCUGACCUGAUCUGUGAUGCUGAGAAUGGGCUCUUAUGGAGACUCCAUUUAGACCUUGAGGCUAUUGCUGCUAGUAGUUCUGAUGCUCCUUUGAUUUUGGAAUUCCUUCAGAGACGGAAGUCUGACCCAAGCAUGGUUAAGAUGAUAUGCCUUGCUAUAGUUCGUACGAUCAUCUUGGAGAGGAGGCCGGUGACCACAGUUGCUAAGGCAAUGGAUGUUGUUCUUGAUUCCUACUCCCGCCUGAUGAAAAUGGGUGGUGGUCUUCCUGGGGUUAGGCAAAUACAUGAGCAAAGCCAGCGAUUGGGUGGUCAACUUGUUGAAGACUCCCAUGUGAUUUCUCAGGGAACUAGUCCUGGACCAACAGUUAGUCCUUCUGUGAACCCAGACCAAGCAGGUGGGAUUGCAAACAGGUCUGCGCAGGGAAAUUCAGGAGUUGAUCAUGGAAUAGACAGGGCAACUUUAAAUACAUCUUCAGAUUCUGAUGAGAUUACAAAUGUAUCAGGAGUGACAAGUCAGGUAACAUCUGGUUACCAGACAUCUGAUGCUAUCAACAAAAGACAGCAAGUUGUGGGUGAAGAUAGCAGACCGUUGUCUUCAGGCACAACGAUGCAGUAUGGACAACAUGCUGGAAGUGUGGCAAUUUCUCCAAUUGAGAUGUUCCAGUCUGUCUUUGCACUUGUGGAAGAUGAAAUGAUGGGUGACCCUGCAUAUCUUACUGCUGUCAUCAUGGAGUUUCUGCGGAGUGCCUCAAAGGCUGGGCUCAAGGCUCCUCCCAACCUUUAUGUGAUGAUGGCAACAUUGCUAGCUCGUAGCAACCGUUAUUCUGAAAUACAAUUGUUUGUGUCAAACAAGAUCCUGGAGCCGUCCAAGGAACUGGCAAUGCAACUCAUGGAACUGGGUCAGCAGCACUCUCCAACAAGGAAGCUGGGCCUGGACAUGCUAAGGGAGCGGAGCCUGCACCACGACUACGUCGCUGCACUUCUGCAAGACGGGUACUACCUGGAGGCCCUGCGCCACGCCAGAAAAUACAAGGUUAUUACCGUGCAGCCCACUCUGUUCCUGGAGAAAGCCGUGGCGAGCAACAGCGCCCAGAACCUGGCCACAGUGCUGAGCUUCUUCUGCGAGUUCACGCCGAGUUUCAAGACCACGUCGGACUUCGGCAGAUACCGGCACAUUCUAUCCGAAAUGGUUUGAGCGGCUUUGUGUUGUACAAUCUUCUUGCGCCCAAAUGACUUCAGCCCGUUAUACAUAAUAGUUAACAUUACUGGGGAGAAAUGACGUUCUGUCAGAUCGUUGUGGCCGUUAAUUUUGUGAUCCGACGACGCACUCGGCCUGCAAAGGGGGCGGAGCGGGGUGCUCCUGAUGCUGAUCCGCUGCCCCAUUUCAUCAAAGACAGGGUCAAGUGUCAACCCGCCCCUUCUUCCAUUUGGCCAGAGAUGAUCUGUGGAGCACCACGGGUUGAACCUCCCUAGCUAGCUGGCUAGUCUAGCAAGUCAUAGUGCACAUGCAAAAACAAAACUUAACAGGGCUAAUGGCUGAUUAACUCUCAGCACUCAGCACUAGCGACCUCUUUGAUGCAUGCAUAUACUUGCUCAAUGAUUAAACAGAGAAAAUGCAAGGAGCAGGAAUCGCUCACGGAACCAGGCUGCGGCAAGAAGCAUUUAAGAGUGGACGUUCGACCCUAGGGUCUCCGGGGGUCAAUAGGAUAAUGACCCUGCCGCUCCUCUUUUUCUUAGGGUCGGUCCGCUUUGAUCCAUCGGCUGAUUUGAGGAGCGGGGCGACGUUGGAAAAGGUUUGACCCGGUCCCCUUGCAGCCAAUGUCGAAUCUUUUUACGGCUCGCGCAAAAUGAGAUGGUUGCAGGCACCUUAAUGCAGUCUAAGGCCUGGUUUAGAUGCAAACUUCAAAAUUCCAAAACUAUUACAUUGAAUGUAUGUGGCACAUGCAUGGAAUAUUAAAUCUAGACAAAAUAAAAAAUUAAUUACAUAGUUUUGUUUGUAAAUUAA